AAUAGAAGUGAUUCGAGUUUAACUGUCAUGAUGGGCAGUGUGGGUGUUAAUUAUCAAGUUAUUUUAACACACUAAUCAACCACAAAGAGGAAACUGCAGCAUCACCUACAGAUCUGCUGCAGAGAAGAAAAGCCUCACACGACGUCUGCCUGCUGACAGAGAACGACACAAAAUGUCUCUGCUGGGAUUAAUCUUUAUUUCUGUGCUUCAGUUUGAAGGCGUAAGUGGAGAAGUAAAAUAUCUCUACAGCAGAGCUGGACAUGAUGCCAUCCUGUCCUGUGGCAGAGCAUCAUCCUCUGAUCCAACAUGCUCUCAUGUUACAUGGCUGUAUGACAAAGAUCGAGCUCAGUCUUUCACUGAAGUUUCAGAGGGAAAAGUUAAGCUGGACUCAGUCCGAGCUGUCAGGUUGAGUCUGGACACUUCCUGCUCUUUGAUCAUUAAAAAAAUCACUGCUGAGGAUGCUGCUUUCUACACUUGUCGACAGGGGAACAAUCCUCAUACAGAUACAUCUACAUAUCUAAGUGUUCUGACAAUCUCUCCAUCUCCACCAGACGCUGAUCCAAAGAGGGACGCUGAAGUCACAUUAGAGUGUUCCCUGUUCAGACACAUUGAUCUCCAUCACUGUCCACAGAUCAGCAUCCGCUGGAUGGAUGAGACAGGAACUGUGCUGCUUGGUGAAGGUGAAGGGUACAAGUUCCAUGGACAGAAGAACUGUGUGUCUUCUCUCACUGUGAAGCGUCAGAGUGGCCACAACAGGAGAUACACCUGUCAGCUGGUUGAUGAGGAGAACAAUGUGGAGAUAGAAGCUGAGUACACACCUGUCUUCACAGGAGACCAUCAGUCAGACACACCUGGUACAGAUUCCACAAAUGUCCCUCUGAGCUCCAUCAUGUCGACUCUGAGAGUUGCAGGACUGAUCCUGAUGAUUGUCAUCACUGUUCUUGUCAUCAGAGGCACAAGGAGCAGAAAACCACCUGAUGAUGACAAAAAUGUGUGUACGGAUGGUGAUGAAGUCAGCUAUGAAAAUGAUGAAGCACGUCCUGCUGCGACCAGACUGGACUGAUCAGCAGCUUCCACACCGACGUCAACAUCAUCUCUCAUGACUAACCCAAGCUUUGAGUUUAAGUGAUCGUCCUGUGUUUGGGAUACAGUGUUUGUUCAUUUCACAGCUUAAAUGAUGUAAAAACUUUCACUGUUUCUGUUCCAACAACAAGCAGCUGUUUUGUAGUUUCAGUUGAUAAAAGAUUCUCAUUCUUAUCAGUGUUUUUCAGAUAAGUGGCCAGAAUAACUGUUGGUAAAUCACAUUUCUACUAAACCACAAACAUGUUGAAACUUUACAUUUCUGUAUGAAGAAAAUGAAGAAGUGCAAAGUGUAUAAACACAAACUGUGUGUGUUUACUUGAGGAACGUGUAGAGUUGCAUUAGAUCUAUUUGAGUCAUUUUGUUCAAGAAACGUGUCAAAGUCAGGAAGUCAGAUGCUCUUAAAAUUGAAUUUCUUUGUAAACUAUAAAAUGACACAACUUCAGAUUGUGAAACACAAGAGUGUUGUGUGCAGUCUGUUUGGUAGAAACAGAAGUGACGUGUGUAUAACUGUCAUGAUGGGCAGUGUGAGUGUUAAUUCAAGAGUUCUUUUAACACACUAAUCAACCACAAAGAGGAAACUGCAGCAUCACCUACAGAUCUGCUGCAGAGAAGAAAAGCCUCACACGACGUCUGCCUGCUGACAGAGAACGACACAAAAUGUCUCUGCUGGGAUUAAUCUUUAUUUCUGUGCUUCAGUUUGAAGUCUCUCCAUCUCCACCAG